rnacentral:rRNA from 1 species
GUCCCUUUUGCGGAGGCAUGGAGGCAGAGCCUCCAUAUGGUGAAAGUGUUGUGAGCAGAUCACAGCGUGGGGUAGAGGAGCAUCGCGUUGUAGGCUGAAGCCGGACCGAAAGGAACGGUGGACGAACCGCGAGAGAGAAUGCCGGUAUGAGUAGCGAGAAUGAAGUGAGAAUCUUUAUCGUCGAAAGCCUAAGGUUUCCUGGGGAAGGCUCGUCCUCCCAGGGUAAGUCGGGACCUAAGCUGAGGCCGAUUGGCGUAAGCGAUGGACAACUGGUUGAGAUUCCAGUACCGCCGGGUCAGCGUUUGACUGAUGCAGUGACACAGAAGGAUAGGCAAAGCGGGUUGAUGGUAGAACCCGUCCAAGUACCGAGGCAGGUGGCGUAGUGAAGUACGCGCCGCCAAUGCCGGGGUGCGAUGGGGACAGAAAUCAAGUAUGGAAGUUGCUGAAUUCACGCUGGCGAGAAAAGCUGCUAAAGGAGCUGAUCAGGCGCCCGUACCGCAAACCGACACAGGUAGGCGAGGUGAGAAACCUAAGACGAUCGGGAUAACCCUUGUUAAGGAACUCGGCAAAAUGACCCCGUAACUUCGGGAAAAGGGGAGCCGGGCACUAGAUUAUGAAGUUUUGGUGAAAAAAUGUUUUAUGUAUAUGUGUUGAAGAAUCAGCAAAAAGGGAUAUACAUAGGAUACACGAAAGAUCUGAAGGCGCGUAUUCGAUACAGCUUAGAGGAUACUGAGAACUCAUAAUCUAGUGCCCGGCCGCAGAGAGUAGUCCCAAGCGACUGUUUAGCAAAAACACAGGUCUGUGCGAACUCGAAAGAGGACGUAUACGGGCUGACGCCUGCCCAGUGCUGGAAGGUUAAGGGGAAGUGUCAGGCGCAAGCCGAAGCACGGAACUUAAGCCCCAGUGAACGGCGGCCGUAACUAUAACGGUCCUAAGGUAGCGAAAUUCCUUGUCAGGUAAGUUCUGACCCGCACGAAUGGCGUAACGACUUGGGAGCUGUCUCAACAAGGGGCCCGGCGAAAUUGUAGUAUGGGUGAAGAUGCCCAUUACCCGCGAUAGGACGGAAAGACCCCGUAGAGCUUUACUGCAACUUGGCAUUGAAUUCUGGCAAUGGAUGCACAGGAUAGGUGGGAGACGGAGAAGCGCGGACCUCGGUCUGCGUGGAGUCACCCUUGGGAUACCACCCUUCCAUUGCUGGGGUUCUAACGGCGUGCGGUGAUCCCGGCGCCGGACAUUGCCAGGUGGGCAGUUUGACUGGGGCGGUCGCCUCCCAAAGAGUAACGGAGGCGCCCAAAGGUUCCCUCAGAAUGGUUGGAAAUCAUUCGGUAGAGUGUAAAGGCAGAAGGGAGCUUAACUGCGAGAGAGACAUUUCGAGCAGAUACGAAAGUAGGGCUUAGUGAUCCGGCGGUAUGAGAGUGGAAUUGCCGUCGCUCAACGGAUAAAAGCUACCUCGGGGAUAACAGGCUUAUCUCCCCCAAGAGUCCACAUCGACGGGGAGGUUUGGCACCUCGAUGUCGGCUCGUCGCAUCCUGGGGCUGUAGUAGGUCCCAAGGGUUUGGCUGUUCGCCAAUUAAAGCGGCACGCGAGCUGGGUUCAGAACGUCGCGAGACAGUUCGGUCCCUAUCCAUCGCGGGCGUUGGAGAUUUGAAGGGAGCUGUCCUUAGUACGAGAGGA